AGAGUUUGAUCCUGGCUCAGAUUGAACGCUGGCGGCAGGCCUAACGCAUGCAAGUCGAGCGGAAACGAGUUAACUGAACCUUCGGGGAACGUUAACGGCGUCGAGCGGCGGACGGGUGAGUAAUGCCUGGGAAAUUGCCCUGAUGUGGGGGAUAACCAUUGGAAACGAUGGCUAAUACCGCAUAAUAGCUUCGGCUCAAAGAGGGGGACCUUCGGGCCUCUCGCGUCAGGAUAUGCCCAGGUGGGAUUAGCUAGUUGGUGAGGUAAUGGCUCACCAAGGCGACGAUCCCUAGCUGGUCUGAGAGGAUGAUCAGCCACACUGGAACUGAGACACGGUCCAGACUCCUACGGGAGGCAGCAGUGGGGAAUAUUGCACAAUGGGCGCAAGCCUGAUGCAGCCAUGCCGCGUGUAUGAAGAAGGCCUUCGGGUUGUAAAGUACUUUCAGCAGUGAGGAAGGUGGGUAUGUUAAUAGCAUACUCAUUUGACGUUAGCUGCAGAAGAAGCACCGGCUAACUCCGUGCCAGCAGCCGCGGUAAUACGGAGGGUGCGAGCGUUAAUCGGAAUUACUGGGCGUAAAGCGCAUGCAGGUGGUUUGUUAAGUCAGAUGUGAAAGCCCGGGGCUCAACCUCGGAAUUGCAUUUGAAACUGGCAAACUAGAGUACUGUAGAGGGGGGUAGAAUUUCAGUGUAGCGGUGAAAUGCGUAGAGAUCUGAAGGAAUACCGGUGGCGAAGGCGGCCCCCUGGACAGAUACUGACACUCAGAUGCGAAAGCGUGGGGAGCAAACAGGAUUAGAUACCCUGGUAGUCCACGCCGUAAACGAUGUCUACUUGGGAGGUUGUGGCCCUUGAGCCGUGGCUUUCGGAGCUAACGCGUUAAGUAGACCGCCUGGGGAGUACGGUCGCAGAUUAAAACUCAAAGGAAUUGACGG
rnacentral:rRNA from 1 species